GGAUAAGAUGGAAAUAAUGGAGGGACCAGUCUCAAAACGUUAGCAACCUCCUCUUCACUGGCAUGGCUGCCGACAGAUGCAGUCCUGCUGCUCUCUGAUUUACAGAAAUCUUCUCGAAAAUGGUAUGAAAUUAGCUGCUGCUCCCGGUGAUUUCAUUGUAGGUGCUCUUGAUUUUGCUCACCAGAGCUUCCCUGUCUGGCUGGAAGAUGAGGUUCCGGUAUGUAAACCACCCUGUAUACCCGAUUCCAACGAGCUCAAGCACGCCGGGCAAAAGUGGAAGCCUGUCGAUGGCCUUGAUGGCGCCUAUGGCAGUCCAGAGGCCGACGAGCGCGGCGACGCCGAUGGCGGUGACGGCGUACUUGUCCUCAACUUUGGCCCACGCGUCCUGGGCUGCCUUGACGACCUCCGGCACCUCCGUCUCGCUGCCGGUGCCGUCGGCCGCCCUGAUCGCCACGCCCCUCGACGCCCUGAGACCGUACUUGAUGCCGGUGGCGGCGACGGCAAAGGCGACCGUGGUGGGGCGGCGAGGCAGCGGUGCGAGGACGAGCGGCGCGGCGGCGAGGCGGCAGGUGGUGGCGGCCAUGGUGGGGUGACCGAGCGGGUGGCGCGGCGGUGGACGCGUGAUCGAUCGGUGAUCUGUUU
rnacentral:misc_RNA from 1 species